rnacentral:rRNA from 1 species
UGGGGAAUAUUCCGCAAUGGGCGCAAGCCUGACGGAGCAACGCCGCGUGAAUGAAGUAAGGUUUUCGGAUUGUAAAGUUCUGUCAUUAGGGACGAAGGACCUGUGCGAAUAGUGCAGGGAAUGACGGUACCUAAGGAGGAAGCUCCGGCUAACUACGUGCC